UGCCCGAUAGUGCAGCGGUAGCACACGUGCCUCUGGAGCAUGGGACCCUGGUUCGAAUCCAGGUCGGGCAGCCA
rnacentral:tRNA from 1 species